GAUGAAGAACGUAGCGAAAUGCGAUAAGUAGUGUGAAUUGCAGAAUUCAGUGAAUCAUCGAAUCUUUGAACGCACAUUGCGCCCUUUGGUAUUCCUUAGGGCAUGCCUGUUCGAGCGUCAUUUAAACCUUCAAGCUAAGCUUGGUGUUGGGUGACUGUCCGCUUCACGGCGGACUCGCCUCAAAAUUAUUGGCGGCCGGUACAUUGGCUUCGAGCGCAGCAGAAACGCGAACUCGGGCCCGUCGUAUUGGCUCCCAGAAGCUAUCUUCACAAUUUUGACCUCGGAUCAGGUAGGGAUACCCGCUGAACUUAAGCAUAUCAAUAAGCUGAGGA
rnacentral:misc_RNA from 1 species